UCCGGUGUGGUCUAGUGGUUAGGAUUUCUGGUUUUCGACCAAGACGGGCGGCCCGGGUUCAAUUCCCGGCACCGGAA